GCAGAGACUCAAACAGGUGAUAACCCAGGAAAGAAGAAGAUACGGUUUUGUUCUAGAACGUCAGUGUUCCCUAGUUAAGCACUACCUGGCCUACUACACCAAGGGUCAGUCUCUACUUAAUCACCACCUGGCAGAAUGGGAGGAUGUAGUUCGAAGUAGAGAAUCUCUUCCCAGAACUAUAGAAAACAUGUUUUCUUCCUCUGUUGGCUACCUGGUAAAA